AGUGAACGCUGGCGGUAGGCCUAACACAUGCAAGUCGAACGGCAGCACAGUAAGAGCUUGCUCUUACGGGUGGCGAGUGGCGGACGGGUGAGGAAUACAUCGGAAUCUACUUUUUCGUGGGGGAUAACGUAGGGAAACUUACGCUAAUACCGCAUACGACCUACGGUGAAAGCAGGGGAUCUUCGGAACUUGGGCGAUUGAAUGGGCCGAUGUCGGAUUAGCUAGUUGGCGGGGUAAAGGCCCACCAAGGCGACGAUCCGUAGCUGGUCUGAGAGGAUGAUCAGCCACACUGGAACUGAGACACGGUCCAGACUCCUACGGGAGGCAGCAGUGGGGAAUAUUGGACAAUGGGCGCAAGCCUGAUCCAGCCAUACCGCGUGGGUGAAGAAGGCCUUCGGGUUGUAAAGCCCUUUUGUUGGGAAAGAAAAGCAGCAGGUUAAUACCCCGCUGUUCUGACGGUACCCAAAGAAUAAGCACCGGCUAACUUCGUG
rnacentral:rRNA from 1 species